UAGUCCGCACGGUAAACGAUGGAUGCUCGCUAUCGGCGCUUGGCGUCGGUGGCAACGCGAAAGCUUUAAGCAUCCCACCUGGGGAGUACGCCGGCAACGGUGAAACUCAAAGGAGUUGACGGGGGCCCGCACAAGCGGAGGAACAUGUGGUUUAAUUCGAUGAUACGCGAGGAACCUUACCCGGGCUUGAACUGCAGGAGACAGUUGGCAGAGACGCCAUCAUCCCUUCGGGGCUCCUGUGG
rnacentral:rRNA from 1 species